rnacentral:rRNA from 1 species
GCUUGCGUAACGUUUUCUGGUAAUUCUUAUCUAUUAAAUUAACCCCGACCCGGUUAUGCCGGUCUCAUUCUACUUUUGCUCACCGCAUCCAUCUCUUUUCCAUGUACCAUUCAUGUUUCAUUCCAAUUUCCUCCCCAUCAACUUUUGAUGGUCUACCAUAGGAAUACCAUGGUCAACAAAUUUGACUGAAACAUCACUGACGAUCGCCGCCAGGGACAUUCAAUCCUCAUGCUUCACAUCAAGAAGGCAUCAGGCGGGUCAAUCACACAUUCCAGACACACGUACGUACCGACAGUCAGGAUUUAUACACGUCUUUUUCUGGAAUGGAAACUGUUAUCAGUACAAUCUAAACCCCUUAACGAGGAUCAAUUGGAGGGCAAGUCUGGUGGCAGCAGCCGCGGUAAUUCCAGCUCCAAUAACGUAUAUUAAAAAAA